rnacentral:rRNA from 1 species
UACGGAGGGGGCUAGCGUUGUUCGGAAUUACUGGGCGUAAAGCGCACGUAGGCGGCUUUUUAAGUCAGGGGUGAAAUCCUGGAGCUCAACUCCAGAACUGCCUUCGAUACUGGCGAUCUCGAGUUCGGGAGAGGUGAGUGGAACUGCGAGUGUAGAGGUGAAAUUCGUAGAUAUUCGCAAGAACACCAGUGGCGAAGGCGGCUCCACUG